rnacentral:rRNA from 1 species
GCUUGUCUCAAAGAUUAAGCCAUGCAUGUCUAAGUAUAAACUGCUUAUACUGUGAAACUGCGAAUGGCUCAUUAAAUCAGUUAUAGUUUAUUUGAUGGUACCUACUACUCGGAUAACCGUAGUAAUUCUAGAGCUAAUACAUGCAUCAAUACCCAACUGUUCGCGGAAGGGUAGUAUUUAUUAGGUAUAGACCAACCCUCCUCGGAGGUGCUUUGGUGAUUCAUAAUAACUCGCGGAUCGGUUUACCGAUGCAUCAUUCAAGUUUCUGCCCUAUCAGCUUUGGAUGGUAGGGUAUUGGCCUACCAUGGCUUUAACGGGUAACGGAGAAUUAGGGUUCGAUUCCGGAGAGGGAGCCUGAGAAAUGGCUACCACAUCCAAGGAAGGCAGCAGG